rnacentral:rRNA from 1 species
GACAGAGGAGCCAAGCGUUGUCCGGAUUGACUGGGCGUAAAGCGCACGCAGGCGGUCGCGCGCGUGGGGUGUGAAAUCUGGCCGCUUAACGGCCAGGCGCCAUCCCAUACGGCGCGUCUGGAGUGAUGCAGAGGUCGAUGGAAUUGCCGGUGUAGUGGUGAAAUGCGUAGAGAUCGGCAGGAACACCCAGGGGGAAACCAGUCGACUGGGCAUCUACUGACGCUGAGGUGCGAGAGCGUGGGGAGCGAACCGG